rnacentral:rRNA from 1 species
UCCGUAGGGGGCUAGCGUUGUCCGGAAUCAUUGGGCGUAAAGAGCGUGUAGGCUGUCCGGUAAGUCCGCUGUGAAAGUCGGGGGCUCAACCCUCGAAUGCCGGUGGAUACUGUCGGGCUAGAGUGCGGAAGAGGCGAGUGGAAUUCCUGGUGUAGCGGUGAAAUGCGCAGAUAUCAGGAGGAACACCUAUUGCGAAGGCAGCUCGCUGGGACGUAACUGACGCUGAGACGCGAAAGCGUGGGGAGCAAACAGG